rnacentral:rRNA from 1 species
AGUGAACGCUGGCGGUAGGCCUAACACAUGCAAGUCGAACGGCAGCUCAGUAAGAGCUUGCUCUUACGGGUGGCGAGUGGCGGACGGGUGAGGAAUACAUCGGAAUCUACUUUUUCGUGGGGGAUAACGUAGGGAAACUUACGCUAAUACCGCAUACGACCUACGGGUGAAAGCAGGGGAUCUUCGGACCUUGCGCGAUUGAAUGAGCCGAUGUCGGAUUAGCUAGUUGGCGGGGUAAAGGCCCACCAAGGCGACGAUCCGUAGCUGGUCUGAGAGGAUGAUCAGCCACACUGGAACUGAGACACGGUCCAGACUCCUAUGGGAGGCAGCAGUGGGGAAUAUUGGACAAUGGGCGCAAGCCUGAUCCAGCCAUACCGCGUGAGUGAAGAAGGCCUUCGGGUUGUAAAGCCCUUUUGUUGGGAAAGAAAAGCAGCAGGUUAAUACCCCGCUGUUCUGACGGUACCCAAAGAAUAAGCACCGGCUAACUUCGUG